AGGGAGGAGUAGGGGCUCAGGCAGCCCCGGUUUUCCGGAGCGUCCUAAUGACCCAGAUGUGCAGCUGCGGAGAUGGCUGCUCGGGGAAACUGCAAAUCCCCCGGCCCCUGGCGGCGAGGUGGGGGGAAGAACUGGAGGCAGAAAAGGAGAGACGCAGGGAGGGAGAGAAGCCUGAGCUUCUCUCACUUCUGAUGGAUGCCCCCAGAGGAACACGAGGCCCUCUCCCUAAGCGCUCAGGAUGGGGACAAUUUCCAGGGAUGCGGCAGAACAGCAGAGUCUUGCACUACCCUGCAACCUGUCCUCCCGCGGUCCAUUCUGGGAGAAGCCUCAAGGGUCUAAAGACAAGGAGACACACUCGUGGACGUCACGGAACUUGCUCAACAUGAGGAAUGAUGUCAAAACGAUGGAACAGUGACUCUGUGCCAUGCACUGUGCCAAGUCCCACAGAUAGGUCAUCUCAUUCAAACGUCAAAGCAACCCAAUGCAGAGGGAGUAUUUUAAUUUCCCUUUUAUCAAUAAUGAAAAUGUCUCAGAGAGAUGAGUAGACAGCACCCAAGUUCAGAUCCCUGGUAAGCAUCAGGGCCAGAGGUAAAACCAAGUCUCCUGAUUCUAAAACCGUUACAGCAAAGAUGAUAAACUGCCUCCAGGGAAGCAAUAAGACAGAAUCAUUAUAACAAAGCAGUGUAUGUGCAACCAGAAAGGGAGGUGAGGGCAUGAUGCGGCCCUCAGUAACCGUGGAAUCUAAAUGGGGUUUUGAGGGAUGAAUAGGAGUUCUCCAAAGGGACAAGUGGGAGAAGAGUGUUCCAGGCAGAGGGAACAUGUACAAAUGCACAGAGGUGAUAAGCUGCCUGGUGCCUUCAAAGACCAUGAGCUGGAUGCUGGAAAAUGGGGAAGGGAGGAGGUCAGAUCUAAGCCAAGCUAAGCCCCUUGGUACUUAU
ensembl:lncRNA